rnacentral:rRNA from 1 species
UGGGGGAUAUUGCACAAUGGGCGAAAGCCUGAUGCAGCGACGCCGCGUGGGGGAUGAAGGCUUUCGGGUUGUAAACCUCUUUCGCUAUCGAACAAGGCCCGCUUAGGGUGGGUUGAGGGUAGGUGGAGAAGAAGCGCCGGAUAACUACGUGCCAGCAGCCGCGGUAAUACGGAGGGUGCAAGCGUUAAUCGGAAUUACUGGGCGUAAAGCGCACGCAGGCGGUUGAUUGAGUCAGAUGUGAAAUCCCCGGGCUUAACCCGGGAAUUGCAUCUGAUACUGGUCAGCUAGAGUCUUGUAGAGGGGGGUAGAAUUCCAUGUGUAGCGGUGAAAUGCGUAGAGAUGUGGAGGAAUACCGGUGGCGAAGGCGGCCCCCUGGACAAAGACUGACGCUCAGGUGCGAAAGCGUGGGGAGCAAACAGG